CCCGCCGAGGGGCGCUGCAGCAGUCACCGCAAGGUGAACCUGUCAGGCUCGGCGGAGGUGGCUCAACAAUGUUGCAACGGCGCCCAUUCAUU
rnacentral:ncRNA from 2 species